rnacentral:tRNA from 1 species
GUCCGCGUAGCUCAGUGGCUAGAGCGCGAGAUUGCAAUAGAGAAGUAACACGUUCUUGGUUCAUUCUAAACAAUCUUGAAGUCGCGUGUUCAAUCCACGCCGCGGACU